GGGGGGGGGGGGGGGCGGGGUUGGGACGUGCGGGGCGGGGGGAAGGGCCGCAGCUGGCUGGGGGGGUCGGGGGGCGAACGGGUGAGGAGGGCGGGGGUGCUGUGCGGUGUGCUUCGGGAUGGGCGUGGGAACCUGGGGCUACUGCCUGUGAGCGGUCACCGGUGGGUGUGUGGUUGGAGAGCUUUUGCGGGAUGGGAUGAGCUCGCGGCCUAUCAGCUUGUUGGUGGGGUAGUGGCCUACCACGGCGUCGACGGGUAGCCGGCCUGAGAGGUUGUACGGCCACAUUGGGACUGAGAUACGGCCCAGACUCCUACGGGAGGCAGCAGUGGGGAAUAUUGCACAAUGGGCGCAAGCCUGAUGCAGCGACGCCGCGUGGGGGAUGACGGCCUUCGGGUUGUAAACUCCUUUCGUCAGGGACGAAGCGAAAGUGACGGUACCUGGAUAAGAAGCACCGGCUAACUACGUG
rnacentral:rRNA from 1 species